rnacentral:rRNA from 1 species
UACGUAGGUGGCAAGCGUUGUCCGGAUUUACUGGGCGUAAAGAGCGCGCAGGCGGUCGUUUAAGUCGAAUGUGAAAGCCCCCGGCUCAACUGGGGAGGGUCAUUCGAUACUGAUCGACUUGAAGGCAGGAGAGGGAAGUGGAAUUCCUGGUGUAGCGGUGAAAUGCGCAGAUAUCAGGAAGAACACCUAUGGCGAAGGCAGCACUCUGGGACGGUACUGACGCUGAGACGCGAAAGCGUGGGGAGCGAACAGG